rnacentral:rRNA from 1 species
CGUUAGUUUUUUAAUUGGAAUCUUGUAUGAAUGGUUGGACAAAAGAAAAUCUGUCUUUAUAUUAUUUAUUGAAUUUAACUUUUAAGUGAAAAGGCUUAAAUAAAUUAAAGGGACGAUAAGACCCUAUAAAGCUUAAUAUUAAAAUUUUAUUUAGUUGAAUUUUUUAUUAUAAAAACUUAGUAAUUAAAUUUAUUUUAUUGGGGCGAUAAGAGUAAAAUGGUCAUUAACUGCUUAACUUUUUAUACACUUAUAAGUGAUUAAUUUUUUAAAUGAUCCUAAGUAAAGAUUAAAAGUUUAAGUUACUUUAGGGAUAACAGCGUUAUUUUUCUUAAGAGUACUUAUCGAAAGAAAAGUUUGCGACCUCGAUGUUGAAUUAAAAUGUCUUUAUAAUAGCAGCAGUUAUAAAAGUAGGUCUGUUCGACCUUUAAAAUUUUACAUGAUUUGAGUUCAGACCGGCGUGAGCCAGGUUGGUUUCUAUCUUUUAACAAAUAAGAAAUUAUUUUAGUACGCAAGGAUUAAAUAAUUAAAAUUAUUUUAAAAUGUGAUUU